CUAAUCAAUAGCUGGGGGCAAAGUCCUCUUCCCUAGAGCAGGAAGAAGCAGAUCUGUAAGUGACCCAAGACCAUCAAUGGAAAAAUUCAAAUGCUUCGGGUUUUCUUUUCUUCCACAGACCUCUUUCAGUCUGGCGAUUGGUAGAGAAAGGAGAGCUGCAGACCAGACAGCCCCAGGAAGGAAGCUCUUGGAAGAGGGGACACUGGAUUCAAACGCAGUGUUAAAUGACCCUAAAUUAACUGCUUGGGAUUCACCAUAUGAGGCACAUGCUCUACUCUGGAAGAUUAGAUAAAAGACAGUGGAUAAGCAUCUCGUGAAAGCAGUUUGAUCCAGAGAGUUAGCAAGGAUGCGUUACCCUCCCAGGGAAAAGGAGAAAGAUUUUGGAAGGAUAUACCAGAAAACAAAGCUCAGCGUACAGACCACCUUGGACAACAUAGGACAACAAUCUUGAAGAAUUGAUGCCUGCAGCCUGUGUAUUUGUGAUCUAAGAGGCACAACACAAAUCCAUCCCAGCUGGCACCCCCCAGUCAAAGUCAGAAACAUAUGUGUGUUCCUGGACGUAAGGGUUAGAAAAUAAAUUUGGUUUCACUGG